rnacentral:rRNA from 1 species
AUUGAACGCUGGCGGCAUGCUUUACGCAUGCAAGUCGAACGGUAACAGGUUAAGCUGACGAGUGGCGAACGGGUGAGUAAUGCAUCGGAACGUGCCCGGUCGUGGGGGAUAACGCAGCGAAAGCUGCGCUAAUACCGCAUACGAUCUGAGGAUGAAAGCGGGGGACCGUAAGGCCUCGCGCGAUCGGAGGGGCGGAGGUCAGAUUAGGUAGUUGGUGGGGUAAAGGCUCACCAAGCCAACGAUCUGUAGCUGGUCUGAGAGGACGACCAGCCACACUGGGACUGAGACACGGCCCAGACUCCUACGGGAGGCAGCAGUGGGGAAUGUUGGACAAUGGGCGAAAGCCUGAUCCAGCAAUGCCGCGUGCAGGAAGAAGGCCUUCGGGUUGUAAACUGCUUUUGUACGGAGCGAAAAGGUCUCCUCUAAUACAGGGGGCUCUUGACGGUACCGUAAGAAUAAGCACCGGCUAACUACGUGCCAGCCGCCGCCGUAACAC